rfam:Rattus norvegicus chromosome 8, whole genome shotgun sequence.
GGGGUUUUAGCUCAGUGGUAGAGCACUUGCCUAGCAAGCGCAAGGCCCUGGGUUCGGUCCCCAGCUCCG